AACGAACGCUGGCGGCAGGCUUAACACAUGCAAGUCGAGCGCCCCGCAAGGGGAGCGGCAGACGGGUGAGUAACGCGUGGGAAUCUACCCAUCACUACGGAAUAACGCAUGGAAACGUGUGCUAAUACCGUAUACGUCCUUCGGGAGACAGAUUUAUCGGAGAUGGAUGAGCCCGCGUUGGAUUAGCUAGUUGGUGGGGUAAAGGCCUACCAAGGCGACGAUCCAUAGCUGGUCUGAGAGGAUGAUCAGCCACACUGGGACUGAGACACGGCCCAGACUCCUACGGGAGGCAGCAGUGGGGAAUAUUGGACAAUGGGCGCAAGCCUGAUCCAGCCAUGCCGCGUGAGUGAUGAAGGCCCUAGGGUUGUAAAGCUCUUUCACCGGUGAAGAUAAUGACGGUAACCGGAGAAGAAGCCCCGGCUAACUUCGUGCCAGCCGCCGCCGUAAAAC
rnacentral:rRNA from 1 species